GGUUUUGUAGUGUAACUAACAUUUCGGAUUGCAAAUCCCUAGAUCAACUAGGACGUUGCCAAAGCUU